UACAGAGGUGGCAAGCGUUGUUCGGAAUUACUGGGCGUAAAGGGCGCGUAGGCGGGCCGCCAAGUCUGUGGUGAAAUCCCCCGGCUCAACCGGGGAACGGCCGCGGAUACUGGAGGUCUCGAGGGAGGUAGGGGCAUGCGGAACUACGGGUGGAGCGGUGAAAUGCGUUGAUAUCCGUAGGAACUCCGGUGGCGAAGGCGGCGUGCUGGACCUCUUCUGACGCUGAGGCGCGAAAGCCAGGGGAGCGAACGGG
rnacentral:rRNA from 1 species